UACGAAGGGGGCUAGCGUUGCUCGGAAUCACUGGGCGUAAAGCGCACGUAGGCGGAUUGCUAAGUCAGGGGUGAAAUCCUGGAGCUCAACUCCAGAACUGCCUUUGAUACUGGAGAUCUUGAGUCCGGGAGAGGUGAGUGGAACUGCGAGUGUAGAGGUGAAAUUCGUAGAUAUUCGCAAGAACACCAGUGGCGAAGGCGGCUCACUGGCCCGGUACUGACGCUGAGAUACGAAAGCGUGGGGAGCAAACAGG
rnacentral:rRNA from 1 species